rnacentral:rRNA from 1 species
GUAGGUGGCAAGCGUUGUCCGGAAUUAUUGGGCGUAAAGCGCGCGCAGGCGGUUCUUUAAGUCUGAUGUGAAAGCCCACGGGCUCAACCGUGAGGGUCAUUGGAAACUGGAGAACUUGAGUACAGAAAGAGGAAAGCGGAAUUCCACGUGUAGCGGUGAAAUGCGUAGAGAUGUGGAGGAACACCAGUGGCGAAGGCGGCUUUCUGGUCUGUAACUGACGCUGAGGCGCGAAAGCGUGGGGAGCAAACAGGAUUAGAUACCCUGGUAGUCCACGCCGUAAACGAUGAGUGCUAAGUGUUACGGGGGUUUCCGCCCCUUAGUGCUGCAGCUAACGCAUUAAGCACUCCGGCCUGGGGAGUACGGCCGCAAGGCUG